UUUUAUGAAGGUAGCUCAGAUGAAGAAGAGAUACCACGAAGUCCACUGAGGUUUCUUGCUCAGGUGGAGAAUGAGCCACCAGAGACCGAAGCCAACGAAAAAGCUGGCAGCCAUGACACGGUCCAGCACAGAACUCCAGUCAAAUCCCCACGCACUAAGCGCCCACCUCCGCCUGGCACAAUUGAGUCCAUCAAUCUAGAUGCUGUCCCUCAGUCUGUCUCAUGCUUGGACAACACUGCUGCCAAACAUAAACUGUCUGUCAAACCGAAGAACCAGAGGGUGUCACGCAAACAUAGAAGAUUCACACAGGACGAAGAAGUCUUUGAUUUGUCAAGAGAGGACUAUAACAUUAUCCAUAGGAGCAAAGAGGAUUAUGAACCCACUGAGAAAUCGAUAAGGCGACGAUUUCAUGAGGAGGAGCAAGAACGCCUUGAGUUUCAGAGAAGGGAACAAGAGGAAGAGAGAAAGAUGGAGGAACAACAAAGGAGAAUUGAGGAGCAGAGGCUAGAAGAAGAAAAGCAGCGCAGACAGGAAGAGGAUAGGCUGCAAAAGGAGGAAGAGGAGAGGACGCAACGAGAGGAAGAGGCAAGGAAAGAAAGGGAAGAGGAAGAAAGAAAGAGAGAAGAGGAAGAGCAAAGAUUAAAACGCGAGGAAGAGCAAAAGAGGCAAGAGGAGGAAAGAAUGUGGAAAGAGGAGGAGGAAAGAAGAAGAGCAGAGGAGGAGAGAAGGCAGCAGGAACUUGAGGCAGAGCGUCUUCAUCUGGAAGAGGAAAGAAAAAGGGAGCAGGAGGAGAGAAGGAGAAAAGAGGAGGAGGAGGCAGAACAACAUAGGAUUCAAGAGUUAGAGGAGAAACGGCAGAGAGAGGAAGAGGAGAAAAGAAGCCGACGAGAGGAGACUGAGAGAAAAAGACUAGAGGAAGAGGAGGAAAGAAAGUGGCAACAGCAAGAGGAGAAAGCUGGAGCUACUGACCCAGAAUGGAAAAGAAAAGCAGAGGAACUGAGAUGGAGAGAGAUGGAGGAGAGACAGAGGCCCUUCACUUUCAAGGUUUCUUCAGGUGAGAAGCAGAUACUUUUCCAGAAGGUCAACCUCACUCCUGUUACUCUAUCAACUGGCCAACAGGGUGAAUCAACAGCUGAAACCAGGGAGGGAGCUAAAGCUUCUUCACCAGGAUGCACAGAUUCACCAACUCUGUCUUCAUCUCUUUAUGUCCCACAUACUGCAAUUCUUGUGACAGGAGCCCAACUUUGUGGAACUGCAGUCAAUCUCGAUCAGAUCAAAGACACAGCCUGCAAGACCCUUCUUGGCCUUUCGGAAGGCAAAAAGGCCAUGAGCACUCCUCCAACCAAAAGCAAGACUUCACCAGAUCGUAAAUCUGGAAAAACCAAAUCCUUAUAUGAGUCUUCCUUAUCUGUAGACCAAUCAAAUGCUGCUGUCCUGGCAGAAUGGGCAAGUAUCCGAUCCAAAAUUUUUAAAGGUGCUGAGGAUGGAAAAUAUCCCGAAUACCCAGAUCAGAGUCGCAGGCCGAUAAGUGAGGAUCUAAAUACAGUGCCAUUCUCUCACAGCAACCUCAGGAAAACCAUGUCAGCCAGUGCUAAGUUUUCCAUCAUACCAGCCAGAAAGAAGUUUACUGAUUCCAAAAGGAACUCAGAGAGUUUGGGUCAGGAAGACAAAGAAGGUGUGACAAUAGAAUCACCAUCUACGGAAACUCCCUCUGUACAAAAAUCUGAAUUGCCCUCUUUAGGUACCAAGAUCCAGAGCAGGGGAAGCAAAGUUGUCCGCAUCACAGAUAGUGCUGAAGAAUGCAUGUUUGCCAAAGACCUCCCCUCCUUCCUUGUUCCCAGUCCACCACAUGGAUCUCCCAAAUCACAGAGAUCCGAGUCUGGAUCCCUAAGUCAGGCAGAAUCAGAAGACUUGGCUCCAAAGGAUGAAAGGGAUCAGAAGGACCAGAGUGGUGAUGAGCAGCCCUCACCUUUUGGAAUCAAGUUGAGAAGAACCAACUACUCUCUUCGCUUCCACAAUGAACAAUCUGCAGAGAAGAGGAAGAAAAGGUACAGUGCAGGAGACAAUUUUGAAGGUGUCCCAGUGCCCCUCACCUCCACUGACCAAGAUUCUGACACUUCUACACUCUCGGAAAAGUCUAGCCCUGUUUCUCCGCAACAAGAGAUUACCGGAUUUCGAUCCACUACAGCACCCAGUAAAGAAUCUCGAAGUAAGUUUAGCAGAAAUACUCUCCCUUUGGCACGCACUGAAGCCGUCAAUUUUGUCCCCAAGCCUCCAUUUUACCAAAAACCAGCUACAUCCCCCAAACCAUCUGAAGAUGCCACACCUCCACCCUCUCCUCUCCCGAAACCUGGCAGAAGGACUUCAGGGGACAUGAUUUCACAAUGGACAGGCAGUGAUCAAAAGGAAGAAGUUGCAGCAUCUGUACCAUCCCAGAAAAAUGGACAAGGGGAGGAGGAGCUUAAAGAAAAGAAGUCAUUUUUCCCAUCCAUCAGCAUGCCAUGGAGAGAAAAAACAGACCGUAGGACAGAACUAAUUAAAAAAGAAAAACCCUCUCUGCAGGCCAGGCACUCUCUGGACAGCUCACGGACACAGGAGAAAGAGACAGGACCACUUUGGAUCACUCUGGCACUGCAAAAACAGAAAGGCUUCAGAGAACAGCAGCAAAACCGAGAUGAUAGGAAGAGCCAGAGAGAAGCUAAGCUGGCUGAGAAACAGGCUAGGGACAGAGAUAGCGUAUGUGUAGAGGAUAAGGGCAAUGGAAGUCCCAGCCCUCUCAAGCCUCAAGCAGCAGAUGCGAAUAAGAGACCAGACACACUCCUGUCCCGUUUUGAACGACGUGACAACUUGAAGAAAGCAAAUACCUUGCCCAGCUCAGUCACAGUUGAAAUUACAGACUCUACACCAUCUCCGCCAGCAACAAAAGAUGUGACAAAGCGCUUCCCUCCUGGUGACACUACCCAGGUUUCUACCGAGCCUGCCUGGCUUGCCCUAGCAAAGCGUAAGACCAAAGCCUGGAGCGACUGCCCACAGAUCAUCAAGUGAUCCAUUACUGCUGACCAGUGAAAAAGCAAACAAGGCAUCUCCUUCAUCCACAUCACUUAGCCAUCACUGCACCCCAGCUCACCUCUUGCUCUGAACAAAAAGUUUAUAAUUUACUUUAGAGCAAUCAGGCAUUUCUGAAUAUUUGGUAAUUUAGUGACUAAAUAUUGUACCAAUAUUAAGAUUCACUAAGGAUUUUAUCAAAUGAUCACAUAAGACAAUGACAUCAACCUGCCCCUCUAGUUUUCAAUACACAGGAUUAUUGCAAUAACAUGCAUCAAAAGCUUAUUUACUCAUUUUGUGUCACAGCCUAUCAAACAAGCCCUAGAAUCUUCAGAGAAGUUGCAGCCCUUCAUAUAUUUGAAGUUGCCAGUGGUUAACAGUGUAUAUACACAAUGCAUGCCAAACUGUUGAUUCUAGAUAUCACUAAAACAAUAUGAGUGGUUCACAUUAAGUACAAAUGCAUCAUGUCAAGUAAAACAAGAAAGUAUGUUAUUGCUUUGGUGACAAUUCUGGGAAGCAAGUCAAGGGCUAAUAAUGACCAGCGAUGAAACCUUCACAAAUUUCACUCCCACAAGCAUGUAAAUCAGAGAAACGGAUUUGUAAUUUUUCUUGUUUUCUUUUUCCAUGUAUGCACUCAAAUGAGUUGCCACUCACAGACCUUGCCGAUGGACAGACAUUGUCACUUUUUUUAUUUCUUAUUAUAUUUGAUAUCUUGGCAAAGUAAAAAGAUCUUCACUGUGUCCGUGACAACUGUGAGUUCUGUUAUUUUAACUAUUGCUACAAAUCAUAAAUGACACGUCAGCACUGUUUACUCAUGUAAUUAACUAACAAUGAAUUUGAAGUUUCCAUGACAACAUAGUAUAUAUGCACUUGAACCGUGCUGUCAAUUGAUGAAAAAUCUACUUCUUGCAGUGUCAAUACACGCCUGUUUCUGUAGAAUUGGUUGCCUGGGAACUGCCUGCUUGCUGUAACAUAAACAAUGCUAUCCUGGCGUAGCGUGUGCUAGCAUCUCUUUUACCGCUAAUUAGCAAAACCUGCAACACGGCUAAGUGAUGGGAGAUCAGUGUUUCAAAUGCAACGUCCCGGGGAGAGAGAGUAAGAACAAAAGGUCUAGCCAAUGGAAAUAUCCUUUACAAAAAAAGGAGCAUUUCUAGUGAGUGAAUGAAUGGACUAUUAACGGACAUCACCUCUAUGUCCUUGAAUAAGGCAGCUAACCCCAGAUCGCUCCGGGGGGGAUUGUCCUUGUAGAUGCAGUUGCUCUGAAAAAAAGUGUCUGCUAAAUGAUGGAGGUUAUUAAAAUCGAAGCCUUGAUCUCUCAGCAGAGCCACUGACUCCACUAUCUAAUGUAACGUUGUAUGUAUGUAAUGUAUGUAUGUAAUAGAGGUGAAAUGAAGCAGACUGCAUUCCUUUGGAGAUCUCCUGAACUGCAGUCGCGUCACUUUGUUUUUACAUUGGUCGUGUGCAAUAGUGUAGCGUAAACAGUGUUGUAUGUGAUAUAUAACAAAAAGUUUGUUGAUAAUUACACUUUUUUUUUUGUUCCACUUUAGAAAAACCCAUUACAGAAAAAGUGAUGCAAAUGUUAUGAAAUAUGUAGAGAAAAUUAAAGGAAGCUGUUUGAAAUCGGUGGACUGAAACUCCUGUUUUUGCACAAAAACAAACAUAACAUUAAUGCUAAAAACAUUUAUGUAUUUUGCAGGAUAUAUAUACGUACAAUACAUACUAAAUAUAUCCAUGUCAUUUUUUAAUAGGUGCUUUUGGGAGUCACCCAUAAAAAUAUACUUAUCCAGUUAUGAGUGAGAGCCAAUUAACACGGUGGUCCUAUCAGGACCCACCAGCAGCACUGGAGAGGCAUCCCCACACCUGCCCAUGUCUGAACUCCAGAGGAUCCGCAGGCCCAGUGGCAGGACAUCGGAAGAUCUUCCCUUGAACCUUCACCCAUACCUGGGCUCUCAGAGACAGGAAACGUCUCGGUGAAACUAUAGAGCCUGAAUCAUCCCGCAUUCUCUUCUUUGAUGGCUGGAUUGCACUAUGUGUUUCUGUCAUGACGUGGCUAACAACAUCUGAGAAAGAGCCAUCUAAUAUGACCUCCAGCAGGCCCAAAAAGGUUGUCCUCAUGGCAACAGUGAUCUCAUCAAAGAGACGCAGGGCCUGAAGGGAGUCUCCUCCACUUAACAUGAAGUGUGCAUCUUCCUCAACCACCACGUCAUUUGGCAGGCCAAGGCAUUCAUAAUAUACACAGACAAGCACACAAUGGCAGUUUCACUCAGCAGGCAAUAGGAAAUAUCUUAUUUAAUAAAUACCUCCACGUGUCCA
ensembl:lncRNA